rnacentral:lncRNA from 1 species
CUAAUUUCCUCACCAAAAUACUGAUUUUCAGCCUUGAAAAUACUGAAAUGUUCUUGUUCAGGUUGGCAGCUCUGUUAAAGGCCAUGAUGUUUAAAGGUAACUUAUCCCUGAAAUUGGUUGUAAUCGCAGUAAAUGAAAACAAAAAUCUAUAUCAUUUUCCGGCGAUAAAUAUGGAGUUACACAAUUUCGAGAAAACAGUACAGAAUAUUACACCCCUCCCCCUUUUCCAAGAGAGAGAGAGAGAGCAAGAGAGAGAUAUGUAACAAUUGGCAUUUUUGUCAAGAUGAAUUAAUUGCCAGAAUUAAUAUCUUACCAGCAUGUUUUGAGCCAGUAGAUUUAUAGUGAUAUAUAAAUUUGUGACAAAAGAUGUAUCCGAAUUUAAGCAUUUGCAAUAUUGUUUUUAAUGAUCUAGAUCUGUUUUGACCAAAACUAGAAAGCUAUAUCAGUAGUUUGCCAAAAGGUUGUUUGAAGUGGUAAAAGUGUGCUUUUGACUUUCAGAUAGAAGUAGGAUAGAUUGUUUUUAUGGCAGAGACGUUAUGAAAAAAACAGACGUGAAUUUCAUACAUCAUAAUAGCGAUUGGAAUGCAUGAUUUUAUGCAAAUUAAAAAGGUUUCUCUAUUGGGUCUGAUAAAAAAAUUCUCAAAAAUCUCCUUAGCUCUUUAUGCACCUUGAGCACUCUACAGGUUAUCAUAUGCUGAUGUACCGGUUGUCAAUUUGUUUUCUUCUUUCUUUUUUUGUAUAUGCAAAGCCUUGCUCAACAUGCCGUAAAUCAUUCCGUUUUCAGGAUUCUUGUGAUUAGGAAGUUUAUGUGAUUGAUAUUAUAAUAAUAAUUUAUAUAUGUAUAAGGAUCCUGUAAUUUGACUGGUUGAAAAUUGAGUCAAUUUUUAUAACCAUGCCUGUUAAACAAUUUACUAUGCCCAAGAAAGCAACAGAAUAUUAUUCCUUGUAUGUGCAAUGCAGCUAUACAUGUAGAUGAAAUUAAAUCCUUAUUCAUGAAGUAUUACUGUUCACUUUCCUCAAUGUUAGUGAAUAGUAAAUACCAUAUAAUUCAAAUGUGACUCUUAAUGUUUUCCUUGCUUGGAAAUGUUUGUAGUACAUUUAAUCAAAUUAUCAACUUCUUAGGUUUCUGGAUAUAUCAAAACACAGAAGAGCUCUGAAAUUCAUCUUACUAUAUCCCUCAAAUUGAUCUCAGGGAAUUAGUACUAUUAUAGUUUCUAGAGGACUUUGGGCUUUAGUUCUUAAUGUGCCACUUACAGCGGUCUACAUUUGAAGACAAAAAUAUGAAUCAUUGUAGCAGCUACUCUGCUAUCAAAAGCCAACAUGAAUAUGCUGGAUUAUUGUAGAGCACUUAAGAGACUUCGGACAAAGCAAGUGUAGUUUAUACUUUGUAUUAUAUUGUCUUAUGGUGAGGAGGUACCAAUAAAGAAGUAUAAUGAUCUAUUAUUUGGAUGUGACCAGUAAUGACAAGAUACGAAAAUUUAUAGUGGUUAGUCAGCAUCUUUGACCUAACUUGUGAUAUCUAAAUAGCCCACCAUAGUCAUUUCAAAUAUGCAAUUGCCAACUGUACAUUAUUUCAAAAUUUUUGGAGAGAAUGUUGUGCUUGGAAUGUACUACCAAUUUGUUUGAGAUGGUUUCAUGAAUACAGUAAGGUGUAUUCAAAUUAGAACUGCAAAAUUAGCUGCCUUUAUAUGUAUAAAAUGGAAUUAUCAAUGCUGGAUGUAUGUAUUUCAAAUGAUUGAUAGUGAAUUCAUGUCUACCUGGGAAAUAUGGAAUGUUGUUGAUUUAUGAAAUAAGAAAUACAAUUAUAU